GUGGUAAUAAAUUUUAACGAAAUGUUUAUUUUAUAGCUAGUAGUAUUAAAAUUGAGUUAAUUCAGAAGUUCUAGCUCAACUGAUAAAAUAUCGAAAUUGUUAGGGCGGAUGCUAUGAUUGGGGUUCGAACCUCGGUUCCUCUACUUAUGUGUGUGAAUGAGCUUAUAAUGGCUUUGUCAUUUCGUCUUGAGUUAAAAAUUAUUCUAUUUUUAUAUAUUCUAUGAGUUUGUUUAGCCAAUAAAAUUGUUGAACUAUUUAUUUCAUGAAUUUUUACUACUAAUAAACAUUUUCUUGAAGUCCCCAUCAACUUAACUCAUUUGGCAAGGGAUAAUGCAUUUGUAUGCAGGGGUCGGGGUUUGAAUCCCGGACACUUCACUUAUUCACAUUUAGGUGAAUUUCUCUAGCCACUAGGCUAUUUGACAAAAAAAAAAAAAACAUUUUUUUGAAUAUUUCUUGUUGACUUAUUACCACAUGUUACUAGUGUGUGUGAGUGCUAGUUGGUUAAUCCGGUUGAUUUUGCUGCAUAAACAAAAGAGACAGACAAUAUAUAGCGCAACUUCCUAUGUAGGUGCAGAGAAACGGUCGAUGUUGAACAACAGAAACAGAUUUGAAACAGUAUCCUUAACCAAAACAACCUAGUAGUUUUCAAUGUCGGCGCCGGAAUGUUUCACUUUUUCACCCUUGGAUUUCGUUUUUGCCACACGUGUUUUCUGAGUUUGCAAGCGCUUACAUCAUCCACAUUAGACAUAUCUUGCUAGGGUUUCAAUGGGUUCAUGACUAUCAAGAACUAGUACUUUUUAGACUCCACAAAUGCAUCCUGGGUUUUUAUAUCUCCAUGGAAGACAUAUUAAGAUUAUUUGGGUGAGGUAAAAAAUGUUCUCCACUAGCCUUGGCUCCUAGUCCUAGACCUUAUUUUCUUUGCCCUUGGUAGAUAAUUUUUUCCUAUUCAACUCUAACUCAAAGCACAAAAGUUUCUCGCUGCCCUAAAUAAAUUAUAUAUGCAAGAGGUAAAAUGUUGAAUCUCCACUACUAAUAUUUCUCCCUUCUCCCCUAAGAAACUAAUUACUUGAGAUUUAUAUUACAUUAUAAACUUGAUAUAACACAUUAAAAACAUAUACCUGUAAUUUUAACCAUGUAAAUAUAUAUAUAUAUAUAUAUAUCCCAUUGACUAUUUAUCAAAAGGUUUGUAAAAGUACAACCAGCUUUUAUCACUAAUCACUUAUAGUACUUUUCGACUUAAUGUAGUGUGGUACACUUGCUAAAAUAGUCAUUUAUUGGCGUAAUAUUAGUUUUGCCCCAUAUCAUAUAUCCCAAUGAAUUGACCAUUUUAUCUUAUUGCAAAUUUGGUAUAGAAAUUUCAAGGAAGUUGCAGAUACAGUGUCAAUAUUCAGCCCCAUAUUUGUUUAAUUAGUGGCUAGUCCA
rnacentral:lncRNA from 1 species